rnacentral:lncRNA from 1 species
UGGAACUGAUAUUUAUAUAAUUUCCUUGAGGAAUAAACCUGGUAGAGAAAACCAUUUGAAGUUUAAGAAAGAUUAUCAACAAUUAAAGAUGGAGAUAUCAGGAAAUUUGCAAAUCCAGAAGCAUAACAUUUAUGUGCUGUAAUGUCCAAAGAAGGUUUAGUAGUCAAUGUUUGAUCUUGUACUCUGCUCCCUGCAUGUUAACCCUGAAUGUCUGUUUCCUCACACAGCCCUAUCUAAGGGAGCACUCACCCCCUAUCAUGAUGCUGUCUACGAGGAAAUAGAGUACAAACUGGCCAGAGAGGGAACCUACAGUGCCCCCAGGAGAGGGAGAUUCCUCUCUGACGAGCUGCCCUCUGGAUACGAUGAUGUGGAGGACAGUGAGGGAGACCCAGUACCAGGAGACUCAAUAACCUCUGUGAAAGAAGAGAUCCCAGAGUACUAUGAUGAUGCAGUAACUGUACCUCAGAGCCCAGAUGCCUUGUCAGGUGGGUUAUUUCAGUCCAGUCACAUGGGAAAUCUCUGCACCAAUCCCACUGAGUCUGAAUCUCUCUACUCUCUCUUCUCUCACUCUUCUCUCUCAGCCUCUGAAUACGGAGUCUGUACUAUUCUGCACCAGUUACAUGAAUCUGACUCUCUCUCUGUGAUCUCAGCCCUGCACACUCAGUCUGGGUCACUGCUGCCAGUGUCCGGCUCCUCUUCAGUAUCUCAUAGGGUUCACAUCACCACCCUCUCUGUCCAAAUACAGCCAAACUUUCUCUGCCCUGUUGUCCUUCAACAUCUUAUUUGAAAAUCUAGGAAUUGUUUUACAUUUAUUACAGUUGUGAAUAGGACUGGAAAUCAGGAUCCCCCUGAUCUCCUGUACUUAGAGCCUGGAGUUUUAGUUCCUGUGUGAUGUU